rnacentral:rRNA from 1 species
GACGAACGCUGGCGGCGUGCCUAAUACAUGCAAGUAGGACGCAGUUGCGAACGGGUGAGUAAAGCGUAGGUAAAUGCCUAUUAGAGGGGGAUAACUAUUGGAAACGAUAGCUAAUACCGCAUACUAGUAGAUGGACCUGCGUUGUAUUAGCUAGUAGGUAGGGUAAUGGCCUACCUAGGCAACGAUACAUAGCCGACCUGAAAGGUGGUUCGGCAAAUCUGGGACUUGACAAAGGCCCCGGCACCUACGGGAAGCAGCAGUAGGUGAUCAUUGGCAAUGGGGGUAUGCAUGACUGAGGCACGCCGGGUGAGUGAAGAAGGUUUGCGGAGCGUAAAGCUCUUUUUUUCAGGCAGCGGUACCUAACCAGAAAGUAACGGCUAACUACGUGCCAGCAGCCGCGGUAAUUC